GCCCGGGUGGCGGAAUUGGCAGACGCGCAGGACUCAGGAUCCUGUGGGAGCAAUCCCGUGCGGGUUCAAAUCCCGCCCCGGGCA
rnacentral:tRNA from 2 species